rnacentral:misc_RNA from 1 species
GAAAUUUCAAGCUGAGGUUUUUGGAGUUGCUGCUUGCACUAUUCUGAAUGAAGGUGAAGAGGGAACAGAAAAGUUGUAUAGGGUUAAUGACCGUGAAAAACACCAGAGUUUUAUGGUAUCCUGGUGUGCAAGAGAAUCUUGCAUCGUCUGUUCAUGCCAUUUCUUUGAGUAUGCAGGUAUUCUUUGUAGACAUGCAAUUACAGUUCUUCAAGUAUCUGGUGUCCCCAAUAUUCCCGCUUUGUAUAAAUUAGAGCGGUGGACACGAGAAGCAAAAACUAAAGGGAGAGCAUGUGGGAUUCCAAGCAACCCUCAUCACAGGAUCCAACGUCUCAAUGAUCUUUGCAAACUUGCUGCCAAAUUUGGCGAAAUUGGAUCAUUAUCCUGGGAAACCUAUGAAUUAGCUGUAAACACACUCCAAGCUGCAUUGCAUGACUGUGUCAAUGCAAACAACUCUGUGAAGAGUGCAUUGGUCUCUAACAUUUCAUUUUCUCAAUGCGAUCCUAACUUUAAUGAAGAGAUUCAAGGUGGUAACAUGGCAAAGUCAUCAAAGAGAAAGAAAGUACAGAAGAUGCACAAGGUUCAAUCUGACGUUGAAGUACUAUCUACCAGGAUCCAAGAUAGCAGCCUGCAGAUGGAUCAAUCAAACUCAAAACUUCCAACUCAUGAAGAUGCUUUCCUAGCUCAGAGGCACGUACAAGGAAUGGAUCUAAGCUCCAGAAUGGCAACUAUUGCGGGAUACUAUGCUCCGCCUCAUCAGAGCGUUCAUGGACUGGGCAAGUUGAGUUCAUUUUCUAUGUUACAAGAUAGGUAUUGCAGCAAUCAUCAAGCCUCACAGAGUGUUCUGGGAAACUUGAAUUAUAUAUCAGCCCACAGUGGUCAUUACUCUCCUCAAAGUAUUCAAGGACUGUUGCAGGGACAGCUUAGUGUCAGAGCACCACUGGUGCUUCCUUCUUUCAACAUUCAGGAAAAUUCAUCUGAUAUGGACAAUUCUACCAGUGUCACAGGAAAACAUUUGCAGUAUUAGUGUUUCUCUUAGCUGGAUUGGAAACAGUGCUUAAUAUAUCGCCUUAGAAAGUUAGCUGAAUAGGAG